ACUGUAAUAUUGGGGAGGGACAUAUAUGUUGUGUGUUUGAACAGGAAGAAACCACACUAAAAGUGAAGAGCUUGAAGGAGUGUUCAACCUUUCCUUAUCCUGAUAUGGUGUUGCCUUCAAGCUCUUCUGAUGAUGAGGAGGCUGAUGGAGCAUUGACAGAGUCACUCUCUAAGCAACUUCCAGACUCAGUUUCUCAACCGGUAAGUUCUAAUUUUGUUCACAAAUAAAUCUUAGCAAGUUUAAGUAUCCAAGUUAAAGAAUUUAGUUUAUGUUUGGUAUCACGGUGGGUUGCCGAAAUCAUUAUGAGCAACCGUGCUUUUGCAAGAGCUAUAGAGUUGCCAAAAUUGCUGUGAACAACUGUUGUGGUGAUGCAAAUGCUACACUUUGUAGCUUUCACACAAUCACGGUUGCUAACCAUGAUUCCGGCUAACCCACCAUAUGAUACAAACAUCAUACACUUUAUUUUGAAGUGGAAAGGACUUUUGACUCAUUCACUAGAUAGAAAGCUGGUCGCUCCAAGAGGGGUGGAGAGUAGUUGGUUUGUUACAUUAGUAUCUAAUUAAACUAGCAUUUAACUGUUGUGCUAGAAGCAUUGUUUUUGUCGAGCAUAAUUGGUAGCUACACUAUGCAGCUUUCACAAAAUCACCGUUGCUUGACGUGAUUUCAGCAAACCCUCCAUAUGAUACAAAACAUGCACUUUAUUUUGAAGGGGAAAGGGUUUUUACUCAUUCAACAAAUAGAAAGCUGGUCACUCCAAUGGGGGUGGAAAGUAGUUGGCUUGUUACAUUAGUAUUGAACUCAACAUGCAUUUAACUGUUGUGCUAGAUGCUUAGUUUUGUCGUGUAUAAUUGGCAGCUAAUCUUUUUUCGCAUCUGCCAUCCUUUGCUUAUUGUUUUUUAUUUUCUCUGUAUUAUACCACAGGCACCUGCAAAACUUGUAUCUGCCAUGAAGGGUAGCCGCAAGAAACACUUGGGAUCGCAAAUGAAAUUGUCUGUUAAAUGGGCCCCUGAUGUGUAUGAUCCGGU
rnacentral:lncRNA from 1 species